rnacentral:rRNA from 1 species
UGCUUCUCUUGAGAGCGGCGGACGGGUGAGUAAUGCCUAGGAAUCUGCCUAGUGGUGGGGGAUAACGUUCGGAAACGGACGCUAAUACCGCAUACGUCCUACGGGAGAAAGCGGGGGAUCUUCGGACCUCGCGCCAUUAGAUGAGCCUAGGUCGGAUUAGCUAGUUGGUGAGGUAAUGGCUCACCAAGGCGACGAUCCGUAACUGGUCUGAGAGGAUGAUCAGUCACACUGGAACUGAGACACGGUCCAGACUCCUACGGGAGGCAGCAGUGGGGAAUAUUGGACAAUGGGCGAAAGCCUGAUCCAGCCAUGCCGCGUGUGUGAAGAAGGUCUUCGGAUUGUAAAGCACUUUAAGUUGGGAGGAAGGGUAGUAACCUAAUACGUUGCUACUUUGACGUUACCGACAGAAUAAGCACCGGCUAACUUCGUGCCAGCAGCCGCGGUAAUACGAAGGGUGCAAGCGUUAAUCGGAAUUACUGGGCGUAAAGCGCGCGUAGGUGGUUCAGUAAGUUGGAAGUGAAAUCCCCGGGCUCAACCUGGGAACUGCUUUCAAAACUGCUGAGCUAGAGUACGGUAGAGGGUGGUGGAAUUUCCUGUGUAGCGGUGAAAUGCGUAGAUAUAGGAAGGAACACCAGUGGCGAAGGCGACCACCUGGACUGAUACUGACACUGAGGUGCGAAAGCGUGGGGAGCAAACAGGAUUAGAUACCCUGGUAGUCCACGCCGUAAACGAUGUCAACUAGCCGUUGGAAUCCUUGAGAUUUUAGUGGCGCAGCUAACGCAUUAAGUUGACCGCCUGGG